GACGAACGCUGGCGGCGUGCUUAACACAUGCAAGUCGAGCGGAGCGGCGAACGGGUGAGUAACGCGUGAGUAACUGCCCCCCUCCCUGGGAUAACAGUUGGAAACGGCUGCCAAUACCGGAUAGUGGGGGAUGACUCGCGUCCUAUCAGCUUGUUGGGGGGGUAGUGGCCUACCAAGGCGACGACGGGUAGCCGGCCUGAGAGGGCGACCGGCCGUAAUGGGCUGAGAUACGUCCCAGACUCCUACGGGGGGCAGCAGGGGGGAGUAUUGCACAAUGGGGGAAACCCUGAUGCAGCAACGCGCGUGCGUGAUGACGGCCUUCGGGUUGUAAACCGCUUUCAGCCAUGACGCGGUAGUGGCAGAAGAAGCACCGGCUAACUGCGUGCCAGCAGCCGCGGUAAUAC
rnacentral:rRNA from 1 species